UUUUCACACCUCACAGCCUUAUUAGCAUAAUCGGAACCUUUCUGGUUUUUAUAUUCACGAAAGAAUGAAAAAACCCGAGAAAGUCAAAACUUCGUAUAUCUCGGGAUUUUAACGAGACCAGUCUCAUACUCGUGAAAAUCGAGAGAGGAGUUUAAAUGGAAAAAAUUUACCUGCGGCUUCCAGAUGAUCUGAAGAUCAGGGAUAUAGAAAAUAUUGUCAAUUUGAUAUUGCUGAUGAUCCAGUCAAAUCUGCUGAAGCCCAGAAGUUUCCAGACCAUGACAUUAAUGAAUAUUUCUUGAAUGGAAUGCAUGAGGAUUAGAAUGGAACCUUAUUCUGCCUUUUUACCAACUCACACCAUCUUUUCAAGAUUUAUGGAGCCAACCACAGAAGAAUUUGUUCUAUAAACAUCAUUCAUAACAUUCUUAUUUAUGUUGCAUAACUUUAAAUGUUACUGGAUGAAUUGUGUUCACAUAAUGAAUACCAGCAAACUUUUUAUCGAGUGCACUUAUUUUGUAUUUUUCAU